rnacentral:rRNA from 1 species
AUGACGAUAAUCAGUUGGAACUGUCGGGGCCUCGGACAGGCCCGGACAGUUCAAGAGCUUGUAUGCCUAGUGCAUACCUACCGUCCGUCUUUGGUCUUUAUCUCUGAAACUAGAAGCAGUGAGGAAUAUGUCAAUAAGUUGCGUAGCAGGCUAGGCCUUAAG